CUUGGCCUGACCUGAUACAUAGUUUCUUAGAGAAGAAAAUCAAUCAGAACUACAACACUCCCGAGGACAUCACUGGUUGUGUCGUCUAUUUGUUGUUGUUGUAUGCGGAGCAUACUCACUUGGUGAAACCAGUGACGUUACCAGAUGAUCGAUACCUUCCAAGAGCGGCAAGGUGGAACAUCAAAGAAAUAUCUGUUGAGUUUCUAAAGGAUAUGGAGGCUUCGCAAUACACAUUCUCUAAAGAAUUUAAGGAUGAAUAUACUAUGUAUGAAAAAGAAAUGUUGAAUGAAAUUGCUCAAAGGCUUCCAGUUGAAGAAGUGCCAUUGACAGUAGAUUGGCAAGAAAAAUUCGAGGAUUUGGAAGUAAAGAAUGAAGAUUUGAGGCUGACAAUUGCAGAAAAAUGGUGUGAAUUACAGAGCAGGAAA